GAGACUCUGUGCGCGUGCAUAUCAAUAAGCGGAGGAAAAGAAACUAACAAGGAUUCCCUUAGUAACGGCGAGUGAAGCGGGAAGAGCUCAAAUUUGAAAUCUUCAAGGGUUCUACCUUUACGAAUUGUAGUUUAUAGAAGUGUUUUCUGUUAGUGAGUUCGGCUAAAAGUUCUUUGGAAUAGGACAUCAUAGAGGGUGAGAAUCCCGUAUUUGACCGUUACUUUCCAGCUGUGUGAUACACUUUCAAAGAGUCGGAUUGUUUGGGAAUGCAGUCCAAGAUGGGUGGUAAAUUUCAUCUAAAGCUAAAUAUUGGCGAGAGACCGAUAGCGAACAAGUACCGUGAUGGAAAGAUGAAAAGAACUUUGAAAAGAGAGUUAAACAGUACGUGAAAUUGUCAAAAGGGAAGCGUUUGACACCAGUGUUGUUUAGUUGAAAAUCAAUUCAAUAGUUUUUGAUUCUAAGUAGUACUGACUUCAUCAGCUUGCUGCUUUCUUCUCAGAAAUUAUUGAAUGCACUUUUCAGUUAACAAGUCAACAUCAAUUUCUUUUGUUGUAAAAGGGUAAGAGGAAGGUGGCUUGCGCUUCGGCUCAAGUGUUUAUAGCCUUUUAUCUCUGCAAUCGGAGAGAUUGAGGUCUGCAGCGUAGAUCCUUCGGGGUUAGAUACAUUGGUGCUAAGCUAUAGCCUUGUAUAGACAACUUGUUGACUAUGCUCAGUCAUGUAGCUUACUCGCUGAUGCUAUUUUACCUACGCUUAGGAUGUUGACAGCAGUAUAGACUGU
rnacentral:rRNA from 1 species